CUGGUUCAACCAGCCUGGCAAAGCUGGUCAAGCUGGUGGGUCAUCUGGUCUUCCAGCAUGACCAGAUAAGUCCAGCUGGACCAACUUAAAAAGUGACCAAAACACAGCUAGACCAGCUUAAAAAGUGACCAAAACACAGCUAGGCCAGCUUAAAAAGUGACCAAAACACAGCUAGACCAGCUUAAAAAGUGACCAAAACACAGCUAGACCAGCUUAAAAAGUGACCAAAACACAGAUAGACCAGCUUAAAAAGUGACCAAAACACAGCUAGACCAGCUUAAAAAGUGACCAAAACACAGCUAGACCAGCUUAAAAAGUGACCAAAACCAGCUUGCUAUACCACCAGCAAUACCAGCAAAAACCAAGCUGGGAGACCAGCUAAAACCAUCUCACCAGCUUAAGCUGGAUUUUACAGUAGGGUGAACUUGCCUAAAAUUCGGGCUGAUCUUAGUGUUUCUUAAAAACUUUGCGUUGCGUGCCAUAAUCCUCACAGAUAUUGUGUCUGUGAUUUUUCCUGUCGUCAAGGACCGGCAACACCACAUAUAGGGACAGUUUCACAGAUAGGGAUUAGACUAGUCCUAGAAUAAAAUAAAUGUAAGAGCUGUCAAAACUGAAAACAACUGACAGAUCUUAAAAUACAUCAGUGCCCUUUGUUUAGCCUCAAAAUGCACACAAGUAAUACUUUUAGUAAGGCAUGUUUGUUAAAUAUUUUCUAAUGAAACUAAGUUCUAGUUCUGGCUUAAGCUAAUCCCUGUCUGAGAAACCAUCCCAUAAAGUUGAUCCUGAUUGGUCCCCUUCUGUGCAUUCGAAGUGCUGAUUAGCUCACGCAGAUAGAACCUUAUAGAGCCAACUUAGAGUUCGAUUUUGUAGAUAGAACCUUUUUGUUUUUUUAAUAAAACGUCCCAAAUUGUACAAAACUUAAAAUAAAACAUCACAUAAUGUAAAUAAGUUGUCACAGAGUAAGAAUAUGUGAAUAACUCAAUUUUGACAAAAAUGUUAGAUAGAACCUUAUAAUUCCAAGGGGACGAUUUAUUGACUGUUUAGAGGUUGUAAGGCUUUUACCUAACUUAACUGUAUUUUGUAUUAAUGAUGCUGCAUUCUUUCCUCAGAAGCUAAAGUUUUUCAAAGACAUUUGUAGGGAGGGCUUUGCAGCUAAUGAUUUCCUAAGGCUGAACCAAAACCUGCCAGACUAAAGUUGAUUUGGGAGAGAAAGACGUUGUAAACUUAAUCAUCUUGACAUUCUUCAAUGAGUAAUUGUUCAAUUUUUAGGCAAAUACUGUACACUUUGAAUGCUGUGAAUAAAACUAUAUUUUAAAUAUAUUUAAAAUGAA